rnacentral:ncRNA from 1 species
UUGCUCUGGAGAAUCCUUAAAACAAAAGUUUAAAAGGUGCCGAAGGUGUAAGGCUGAUGCAUUUUGUAGUUGCACGGUCGAUCUCUCAGGUAAAAGGACGGAGAA